CACGUAGGGUGCGAGCGUUGUCCGGAAUUAUUGGGCGUAAAGAGCUCGUAGGCGGUGUGUCGCGUCGGCCGUGAAAACCUGCAGCUUAACUGUGGGCUUGCGGUCGAUACGGGCAUCACUGGAGUUCGGCAGGGGAGACUGGAAUCCUGGUGUAGCGGUGAAAUGCGCAGAUAUCAGGAGGAACACCGGUGGCGAAGGCGGGUCUCUGGGACGGUACUGAC
rnacentral:rRNA from 1 species